GUGCAGCAGUCGCGAAUUUUUCUCAAUGGGGGAAACCCUGAAGGAGCGACGCCGCGUGGAGGAUGAAGGUCUUCGGGUUGUAAACUCCUGUCAUUUGGGAACAAGUGCCAACAAGUAACUACUGUUGGCUUGAUAGUACCAGAAGAGGAAGAGACGGCUAACUCUGUGCCAGCAGCCGCGGUAAUACAGAGGUCUCAAGCGUUGUUCGGAUUCAUUGGGCGUAAAGGGUGCGUAGGUGGCGCCGUAAGUCAGGUGUGAAAUUUCGGAGCUUAACUCCGAAACUGCAUUUGAUACUGCGGUGCUUGAGGACUGGAGAGGAGACUGGAAUUUACGGUGUAGCAGUGAAAUGCGUAGAGAUCGUAAGGAAGACCAGUGGCGAAGGCGGGUCUCUGGACAGUUCCUGACACUGAGGCACGAAGGCCAGGGGAGCAAAUGGGAUUAGAUACCCGUGUAGU
rnacentral:rRNA from 1 species